CAGUCUCUCCAAUUAUUGAAACAGUCUUCUCAGCUCUUUCCUCUCAAACCUUAUUGAUUGAUUAGGGAAAUACAUUAACUCCUCCAAGUGAUUAUUUGGAGCCUUUUUGUCAUCAUAGAAUUAUUUCCUUGCUUAACACGCCUCAUGCCAUUUUAUUUCCUUCUUUAACACACCUCAUGCCAUUUAAGCUUACAACUCUAUUUAGUUUGUCAUCUACUUGGAUACAAUUAGGUGGUCAGUUCACUUGCAGGUUUUGUGUACUUAUACUAGGAUCCAAUCUGUUCUGGGUAACCAAUGAUGAUAGAGAUCUUGUGUAUGAAUACUGUACAUCUACAUGAAUGGUAAUGAAAACCUUGCUAGCUUUAUCGGCUAAUUACGCAUGUUAACUUGAAUAACUGUUCUUGGAUAUCUAAAUGUAGUCAUAAUUAAACUAUACAAGAUUUUGUCGAGCCAUUGUAGUCACUUCCUCCAGUGCUGCAGAAGUAGUAAGCUUUUUAUUGGUUUAAAUUUUCUAUACAAGAUUUUAUCCAGGCAUGCUGUAUCUGUUUAUUUGCAUAUUAUGUGUCUGUAAAACUCUAAUGUUGAACAACUCAAAAUAAAUAGGAAGCAGUGAUCCAUGGCUUUGAGAUAAAUAUGUCGAGGAGAAAAGAAGAUUUCUUACCUGGGGCUGGCAAACUCGAAGAGCUUUCCCGUGGGUGAGAAAAUGAUGAGAGCAACUUUAGCAUCGCACAGAAGUGACAGCUCGCUGGCCUUCUUCAACAGUCCCAUUUUGCCCUUGGAGAAAGUCGGCCCAUGAUAUACAGGGUUUUGUAUCCUCUUUAGCUGAAACUUUCCCUUCGCCAUUUUAUUCUAUUUGCAAAAUGGAAAAAGAUCUCAAGAUACAAAAGCCCCACACCUCAAACCAUUAUAUAUGAUCUGUGUCACUAAUUUUCUGCUUCUUUUAUGUGAUGAUACUAAUUGCUCUUAUUCUGUCUGAUCAGGGCUAUCAUUUACUUGGCUUUCAUGUAGGGCUGAAGCGGACCAAUUGGAAGAUUAUAAUAAUUUAAAAAACACUCAAAAAAUACAUGUCAUCAAUUAAGAGGAAGAAUGAAUAUUAUUCAAAUGAAAAAUUUAAUGAAAAUUACAAUAACAGUGAUUAUAUUUAUAGAUUGCUAAAGCCUAUCAAACAAGAACAAAAAUUAAAAACGAAUAACAAUUUUUCACAAUAGAGAGUAGUUUCUAAAGAUAAAACCACUGCAUAGACAGCAGUUUCUAAAGAUAAAAAAAAGUAGAUUAAUGUUUAUAUUAGCAAUUUUCAAACUAUUAUUUUAUUAACAAAUCAAAAACACAUUUUUAGUAGUUUCCAUCACAGCCUUGAUCUCCAAUAUAGCAAUCUCCAAUUCAUCAUUCUAAUCUUGAGCAUAUCAAAAUUAUCUUCAAUCUCCCCCAGAAUAAUCAAUGGAGGUGAGUCCCAAUUGAUGCCUAAAGGCAAUAAAACUAGACAUAAGAAGAGCUUUGGUGAAGAUAUCAACUACUUGUUCAGGAUAAAGGACGGAACUGUAACUCCACUUGCCCAUCUUGAACCAAGUCAUGAUCUCUAUGUGCUUCAUUCUAGCAUGAAACACAGUAUUCUUUUUCAUGUAAAUAGUGCUAUUUUUAUCACAAUAGAUGGUGGCUGGAUACUAUUGAACCAAAUGUGGAUCUAUCAAUAUCCAUCUAAUCCAAACUGCUUGAGAACUUGUUGAGGUGGCUGCAAUGUAUUCUGCUUCUGCUAAAGAAAGAGCCAUAGUUGCCUCUUUCUUACUACUCCAAGAGACAACUCUAGAACCAAGUGAAAAAACAUAGCUAGAUGUAGAUUUUCUAUCAUCUACUGAGCCAACCCAAUAAGAAUUUGUGUAACCAAUUAGCUCAAACUUAUUAGUGGAAGAAUAAUAAAUGCCAAAAUUUUGUGUCACUCACAUACCUCAUGAUUCUUUUAGCAGCUCGCCAAUGAGUCUCAUGUGGAUCUUAAAUGAAUCGAGAGAUGAGGCUCACAACAUACAUAUUAUUGGGUCUAUUGGUUGUGAGAUAAAUAAGACUACCAACCAAACUUCUAUACAAAGUAGCAUUAACAUUGGGACUUGCAUCUUCCUUGGUAAAUUUUUCUCCAAGUGCUAUGGGGGUUGCAAGUGCUUUGCAUGCCACCAUUCUAAACUUCUUCAAUAAAUCAGCUACAUACUUGGUUUGGGAAAUAUAUAUACCAUUUGAUGUUUGUUAUACUUCCACACCAAAAAAAUAGUGCAUGAGUCCCAGAUCUGACAUUUCAAAUUCUUGUCUCAUUUCUACCUAAAACUUAUCCAUGAGAGCUUUGUUGUUACCUUUAUAAAUAAGAUCAUCAACAUAAAGGCAAACUUUGAGAAUAUUAUUACCAAUACAUUGGACAUACAAGGUAGGCUCUAAGCGGCUUCUAUUGAAUCCCUUCUUCAUAAAAUAAUUGUCAAUCCUAGCAUACCAGGCAUGAGGAGCUUGCUUCAACCCAUAAAGGGCUUUCUUAAACUUGUAGACUAGGUGUUCUUUUCUUGAAACUUCAUAACCCAUAGGUUGUUCCACAUAAACUUUCUCACCUAGAUAACCAUUCAAGAAUGUUGAUUUCACAUCCAUAUGAAAAAUUGGUCACUUGUAUUGUGUUGCAAUACCCAAUAUAAUCUUGACUAUAUCAAGUCUAUCCACAAAAGAAAAAGGCUCUACAUAAUCCACUCCAAGAGUUUUUGCAAACCCUUUGGCAAUUAAUCUUGUCUUAUGUCAUUCCAUUGAACCAUCUGCAUGAUAUUUGACUUUAUAUAUCCUUUUCACACCAAUCACCUGCUUUUUUGGGGGAAGUUGCACUAAUUCUCAAGUAUUAUUUUUAUGAAUGGAAUUCAUCUCAUCAUUCACAGCAUUAAACCAUAUUGAUUCUCUUACUACUUCAUAUACAGAGGGUUCAACUUGGAUUGUACUAAGCAAAGAAAAAUUAACAACUAGAUUUAUAUUUGCACUUCUUUGAUAAAUAUCAACUAAACUCCGUACCUUUCUUUGAGUUGAUGCUAGAGGUGAAAGUGGAGGUGAAUCUUCACUUGAGUUUGUGCUAAUAGAAGAACUCGGUGAACUUGGAGGAAUAGAACUAAAGCUUGAACUUCCACUUGAGCUUGUAAGGAGAGGAGGAACACUAUUAUCUCAAAGUAAUUAGAUUUACCUGUCAUGUGAUUUGAACAGCCACUGUCCCGAACUAGACAUCCUCUUGGUUUUCUUUUGCCAAAUUACAUGUGAAGAAUGUGGAAUGCUUUGCUUUAGAAGACUCUUUUGUAAAAUUUGCUCAGACUUAUUCAAGUCAAAUUUCAUUUUUAUGUACUCAGAUUCAUAGUGCCCAUGUCUUUCACAAUAUUUGCACUGGAUACUCCUUUGAUCCAUAGAACUUCUUCCUCUUCCUUUAUUGUUUCCUCUUCCUCUUCCUCUACCUCUUUCUCUGUUAUUACCAGAAGAUUCACCUUGAGAUUUAGUAGUGUGAGAGAGAGGAGAUUUGAACUUUUCUUCAAUGUUGACAGAAGAUUAGAAAGCUUGCACAAAACUUUCCGUAGAAUGUUGUAUACACUCCCCAUGAGAUUGCAAAGAACCAAUCAACUCUGCAACUUGGAAAGUAGUUAGAUCUUUACUUUCUUCAAUGGUUAUCACCACUGGAUCAAAUUUAGAAGGAAGAGAUCUCAAAAAAAAUUCUACAGUUUUUUGUUCUAUUAUAGUUUCUCCUUGAACCCUAAGAUGAUUCACAAUACCUUGAUUCCUGUUAAUAAUUUCAUGCAUGGACUCAAAUUCCUUCAUCCUCAAAUUUUCAAAUUCUCUUCGAAAAGUUUGAAGUCUUACAAAUUUGAUUUUGUCUAUACCUGGUAUGUAGUGUGAAGAGCCUCCCAUGCAUCAUUUGAUUUUGUCAUACUAGCAAUUCAAGGGAAAAUUAAAUCAUCCAAUGCAGAUUGAAUAGUGAAAAGAGCCUUAUUGUCCUUUUUUUGUCUUGAUUCAGCUGAGUUUUUUGUUGUGGUGUCCAUACAUUUAAUGCAUUCUGGUUUGCAGGUUUUAGGUAUCCUCCUUCCACUAAUUUCCAAAGUUCUUGGGAUAAUAGCAGGGCCUUCAUUUUGAUACUCCAAUAAUCAUAAUUGUCUCUGGUAAACAACGGAAGUGUAAAUGGUAAAUCUUUUCUAUUAGCCAUCUUGAAAUAACCGUUUCUCUAACCUUGCUACUUGCACAAUCAGAAAUCUUGCAACCUGCUUUAACCAAAUGAAAGAUUAUAAUAGUUUAAAAAACAUUCACAAAAGAAGACUGAAUAUUAUUGAUAUGAAAAACUUAUUCAAAAUUACAACAACAGUGAUUACAUUUAUAGACUGCUAAAGCCUAUCAAACAAGAAUAGAAACUAAAAACUAAUAACAAUUUUCCACUGCAUAGACAACAGUUUCUAAAGAUAAAAACCACUACAUUGACAGGAAUUUCUAAAGAUCAAAAACUAGAUUAAUGUUUAUCUUAGUAGUUUCCAAAGUACUAUUUUAUUAACAAAACAAAAACACAUUCUUAGCAGUUUUCAUCACAGCCUUGAUCUCCAAUAUAGCAAUCUCCAGCGCAUCAUUCUAAUCUUGAGUAUAUCGAACUUUUCUUCACUAAUGUCUUAAAACCUCGCGGGAUUACACUUGAAUGUAAUCUAAGCUGAUUUUAUAAGAUGUGGAAACUACUAUUUUAUUAACAAAACAAAAACACAUUCUUAGCAGUUUUCAUCAUAGCUUUGAUCUCCAAUAUAGCAAUCUCCAGCGCAUCAUUCUAAUCUUGAGUAUAUCGAACUUAUCUUCACUAAUGUCUUAAAACCUUGCAAGAUUACACUUAAAUGUAAUCUAAACUGAUUUUAUAAGAUGCAGAAACUACUAUUUUAUGAACAAAACAAAAACACAUUCUUAUCAGUUUUCAUCAAAGUUACCCCGAGUUUCCGGGACGGGGACGGCGGGACGCGUUUCCGGGACGACAAUUUUUUUUGCCAAAUUUGGGAACGACGAGGGACGACAAAGGGGACGGCUAUAUAAAAUAUAGGAAAAAUUUAAAAUAUUUAGAAAAUUUUCAAAAUUCUAAAUGUUCAUAUGAAAACAUGGAUAAAGCAUGCAUGCAUACAUUAUAUUCAUAUGAAAACAAUAAAACAUGGAUAUAGCAUGUGUAUGAUACUAUGAAAAGUUGAAAACAUUUUAGAAAGUAAAUUCUGAACAUACAACAUUGUUAAUACUCAAUAUACAAUAUGCAAUUAUGCAUUCAUAAAUCAGAAUUUCAAUUCAUUCACAUUGUCAAUAUGCAUAUCAAUAGACUCGGAGGUUAAAGUUUCCCUACUUCUAUCGACGCAAUUUCCCCCCAUAUUUUUCAACGGGGGUUUGGGGGCAACGCCCCCAAGGUGGGGUCAAGGGGCAUCGCCCCUUGCGGGGUCAAGGGGCAACGCCCCUUGCGCGCUCCCUGUCGCGAUACAAGGCGAGGUCGAGGGGCAGUGCCCCGUGAGGCCAAAAAAACUUAUUCUUUAAUAAAGGCGUUGGGUGUUAUUUUUCUAUUGACUCGCCGAGUUUGGAGAUUUUCUAAUCUCUGUGUCAAAAUGCCCAAAGGCUGCACUGCUGCCAUAUAGUUUCAUUGUCAAAAUUAUGAAUUAAAUUAAUAAAUUUAAAAUUUAAUUAAUGCUAGCUUUUAAUUUUAUUUUAUUUUAAUAGCAGUUUGAAUUAAUAAGGGGCCUCUAUUAGAAAAUUUAAAUAAAAAAUUAAAAAUACAACUUUUUAAAUUUUUUUAAUAUUUUUUAAGGGCCUUAGAUUGGGGGACGUUUGGCCGUCCCAGCCAUCCCCAGCCGUCCCCGGGACGUACGGACGUCCCCCAGAACUAAGGCAGGCAUCCCCCCGUUUCGGGGACGUCCCCUCAAAAAAUAGGACAAUUUGGAGACGGGAGAAAUGUCCCCUGACCGUCCCCAAGUCUUCGAAACGUCCCCGAAAUGGGGACGGGGGUUUUCAAGUCGGGGACGCGUCCCCAAAUAACUCUGCUUUUCAUCACAGCCUUGAUCUCCAAUAUAGCAAUCUCCAGCGCAUCAUUCUAAUCUUGAGUAUAUCGAACUUAUCUUCGCUAAUGUCUUAAAACCUCGCGAGAUUACACUUAAAUGUAAUCUAAGCUGAUUUUAUAAGAUCCUUGGGCAAUACGCGUAAAUUUUCUGUUAAUUUUUACAGCUUUCUCAAACAGCACAGAGACAAAUUAUUGGAGUCUGCAGCUGCUUAAAAGCAACAGAGAGCUGCAUUUAGAAACAGAAAAAUCAACAAUAAUAUUUUUUUUUUACAUGCAGCUCAUGUAAGCAUGCGAUCUAAAACUAAUUUAAAUGCAAAUUAUAUUUAAAAUUAGAUGUGUAAACUAAAAACUGCACAUGAUAGUGACAGUGAAGGUGAAAUGCAUCACUUAUCAGCAUGCUCCCCUUUGAUAUUAAGAGGGUUCAAAUGUAAUCUCGAAUUGUCAAAGAUUGAAUUUCAAUUGCCUUUGUGAAGAUAUCAGCAAGUUUUUUAUUGAAGCUUGAUGUAUUUCAAUUCAUUUUUUAUUUUUUUUCAAUCUCAAAUACCAAAGUUUAAAGUGUCAUUCACAUACCUCUGUAUUCUCUUCGCUUCCUUGAUAUUUUUUUCAAAUGGCUAUGUCAUAUACUUUGAAAAAAGAGAGACUAAAGAAGCAACAUUCGGUUUUGAGUGGGUUAUAAACAUUAAAAUUCAGCUUACAAUACUUUUGUAAGCUGUAUUAUCAAUGGAGUGGAGGUUAAUUUUUUCAACAUAUAUUUUGCAUACUUUGUAUAAUUAUAAAAGGUUCCAAUCUGUGUAUAACUGCUGUGCAUGUGUGUGUGAAUGGUAAUAUAAACCUUGCUAGCUUUAUCGGCUAAUUACACAUGUUAACUUGAAUAAUCGUUCUUGGGUAUCUAAAUGUAGUCAUAAUUAAACUAUACAAGAUUUUGUCGAGCCAUUGUAGCCUUUUCCUCCAAUGCUGCAGAAAUGCUCAAAAUAAAUAGGAAGCAGUAAUACAUGGCUUUGAGAUAAAAAUGUCGAGGAGAAAAGAAGAUUUCUUACCUGGGGGUGAGAAAAUGAUGAGAGCAACUUUAGCAUCGCAGAGAAGUAAGAGCUCACUGGCCUUCUUCAACAGUCCCAUUUUGCCCUUGGAGAAAGUCAGCCAACGAUUUACAGGGGCCAUCAUUUACUUGGCUUUCAUGUAGGGCUGAAGCGGACUAAUGUCUUAAAACUUCACGAGAUUAUAGUUAAAUGUAAUCUUAGCUGAUUUUCUAAGAAUUAUGGUGGAAACCGGCACCACACUUAUCCCCGUCUUCUAUCAUUCUCAGCCUUCUGAUUCUAUACAGGCCCUCUAGAUGAUAACGAAAUUAUGGCAAAUAAUUUUUGAUUCAAGCUGCACAGAAUUUUUUUGCUCAACACACAAUAAUGGUCUGUAUUACUUCCAAACGAACUGUUACCCAACAGUUUUUACAGCUUUCUCGAACAGCACAGAGACAAAUUAUUGGAGUAUGCAGCUGCUUAAAAGCAACAGAGAGCUGCAUUUAAAAACAGAAAAUGUUAACAAUAAUUUAUUUUUCUUACAUGCAGCUUAGAUGUCUAUACUAAAAACUGUACGACACUGAAGAUGAAAUGCAUCACUUAUCAGCAUGCUCCGGGUUCACAAUAUAAUCUCGAAGUGUCAAAGAUUAAAAAAGAUUGGACUUUUGCAAUCGUAGAUAUCAACAAGUUGUUCUUGAGCAUUGAUGUAUUUC